rnacentral:rRNA from 1 species
AUUGAACGCUGGCGGCAGGCCUAACACAUGCAAGUCGAACGAGUGGCGGACGGGUGAGUAAUGUAUGGGGAUCUGCCUGAUGGAGGGGGAUAACUACUGGAAACGGUAGCUAAUACCGCAUACCAUCGGAUGAGCCCAGAUGGGAUUAGCUAGUAGGUGGGGUAAAGGCUCACCUAGGCGACGAUCCCUAGCUGGUCUGAGAGGAUGAUCAGCCACACUGGAACUGAGACACGGCCCAGACUCCUACGGGAGGCAGCAGUGGGGAAUAUUGCACAAUGGGCGCAAGCCUGAUGCAGCCAUGCCGCGUGUAUGAAGAAGGCCUUAGGGUUGUAAAGUACUUUCAGCGGGGAGGCGUUACCCGCAGAAGAAGCACCGGCUAACUCCGUGCCAGCAGCCGCGGUAAUAC